GAUGAAGAACGUAGCGAAAUGCGAUACUUGGUGUGAAUUGCAGAAUCCCGUGAACCAUCGAGUCUUUGAACGCAAGUUGCGCCCGAAGCCAUUAGGCCGAGGGCACGCCUGCCUGGGCGUCACACGUCGUUGCCCCCCCAUCUACUCCUUCGGGAUUGCGGGGGGCGGAUGAUGGCCUCCCGUGCGCCUCGUCGCGCGGUUGGCAUAAAUGCCAAGUCCUCGGCGACGCACGCCACGACAAUCGGUGGUUGCGAAACCACGGUUGCCCGUCGUGUGCGGUCGUCGCGCAUCGAGGGCUCGAAAAAAUUGCCGGGCUCCGGCUCGGCUUUCAACGCGACCCCAGGUCAGGCGGGGUUACCCGCUGAAUUUAAGCAUAUCAAUAAGCGGAGGA
rnacentral:misc_RNA from 1 species